AUCCCCAGCAACAAUAAAUACAGCCUCAGGAUAUGUGGUUUCCAGUUUGCAUAAAAUCCAGUAAAGUGCUUUGAGGGCCGUCGUGGUAUCAGCUUGAGGGGGGAUAUGGACCGCUGUGGCUAUUAUUAUUUUGGGAAAUAGUACGGUGGCAUUUGAUUGUGAGAUAUUCUAGGUCGGGUGAACAGAAGGACUUGAGUUCCUGUAUGUUAUCACAGUUACACCAUAUGUCGUUAAUCAUAAAACAUAUACCUCCACCCUUCUGCUUCCCGGAGAGAUGUUUGUUCCUGUCGGCGCGAUGUACUGAGAAUCCAACAGCCUUUACAAAGUCAGACUGUAUAUCUCGAGAGAGCCAUGUUUCCGUGAAGCAGAGUAUGCUACAAUCCCUGGUGUAUCUCUGAAAAGCAACUCUCGCCAUGAGCUCAUCAACUUUAUUAUCCAGAGAUUGGACAUUAGCGAGUUAUACACGGGAGCGGUGGGUGGUGUGCACGCUUCCCAAGUCGAACCAGAAGACCGCCCCGGGUACCUCUCCUUCGCCGGUGUUGUUUUGGGUCAGCCUCUGGAAUAAGUUAAAUUGCUCUGGGGAGAGCAAACAAAGGAUCUGCUCCAGGGAAGUCAUGAUCCUGGUCGUAAUGCUGGAAGUUCUGCUGGGAGUGGCCACAGGAGCCAAGGCCUAUUGACCAGGACAGGAGAAGGAGAGUGAUGGAUGUCCACAAUCUCCACAUCCACCACAGACUGAGAGGAGCUGGCGAUCAAGCAGACAUACCGGGAUCACAAGUCCUUCAUCAGGAUCCAGUUUUGACAUGAAGGAUGCGUCAGAUGACCUACAGACAGAAAGUCUGCUAAACCUUAAAAGCUCCAAUUCUCCCCACCCUGUGGUCUAAGCCUUUUAUGUAGCUCAUAUUCAGUGGAGCAUUUCAGAUACAGUACAACACCUCUGGGUUGAGAACCACAGCAUGUUCCCAGUCCAGUCAAGCCUGGUCAUGAGACAGUAUACUGGAAAAUGUGAUUUGCUAAGAUCAGGCAGCUUUUGUUUUGAGUUCUUUCUUCACCCAAUUUGCUUGGAGAAAAAAACUAAAUGUUCCCAGAAUAUUUGUGCCAAAAUGGGUCAGCAAGUCACAUUACACGGCCCCACUGAAAACUCAAUACAAUUGAAGACAUUUGAACUAUGUAGCACUUGCAACCUAAGUGAACUAUCAUUGGUCAAGUGCAUUCUUUGGAAAAUGAGGGCCAGAGGGCUGUUUUGAGUAUAUUGACUUAUUAAUCAGUCUACUCUGUUGAUUACAAGGGCCUGAUUGAGGAGAUUGUCCUAUUCAAUCUAUAUCGCUGAAGCGUACAUUUAAAGGUAAUUUCUGAUUGAGCCGACUUAAGCAACAUAUACCGUGAUUGCAGUCUCCGCUAACACGGGAACAUUGCCUUUAAAUUUCAAUCACGUUAUAACGCUGAACUUCCGCUAUAUGGAUUGAAGAGAGCCCUAAGCAGUGUUGGAAACAGUACCCAAUUGUCAUACUUGAGUAAAAGUAUAGAUACCUUAAUAGAGAUCAAGCACCAGAAAAAGUCGCCCAGUAAAAUGCUACUUGAGUAAAAGUCUAAAAGUAUUUGUUUCUAAAUAUACUGAAGUAUCAAAAGUAAAAGUACAAAUAAUUCCAAGUUUCUUAUAUUAAGCAAACCAGAUGGUACAAUAAAAAAAAGAUCUUAUUUACAUUUAGCCAGGGGCACACUCCUACAAUCAGACAUAAUUUACAAACAAUGCAUUUGUGUUUAGUGAGUCCCCCAGAUAAGAGGUACUAGAGAUGACCAGGGAUGUUCUCUUGAUAAGUGUGCGAAUGAAUUGGACCAUUUUCCUGUCUUGCUAAGCAUUCAAAACGUAACAAGUACAUUUUGGUGUCAGUGAAAAUUUAUGGAGCAAAAAGUACAUUAUUUUCUUUAGGAAUGUAGUGAAGUAAAAGUAAAAGUUGUAAAAAAUAUAAAUAGUAAAGCAAAGUACAGAUACCCCAAAAAACUACUUAAGUUUAAAGUAUUUUUACUUAAGUACAUUACACCACUGUACACCAUUGUCUCCACCCCCUCCAGGUGUCGCUUGUUUUCCCCAGUGUAUUUAUCCCUGUUUUUCCUGUCUCUCUGUGCCAGUUUGUCUUGUAUUUUCCAAGUCAACCAGCGGUGUUUCCCGUUCUCCUGCCUUUGCUAUUCUCCUUUUUCUUGUCCUCCUGGUUUUGACCCUUGCCUGUUUCUGGACUCUGUACCCGCCUGCCUGACCAUUCUGCCUGCCUUGACCUCGAGCCUGUCUGCCACUCUGUACCUCCUGGACUCUGAACUGGUUUUGACCUUUUGCCUGUCCACGACCAUUCUCUUGUCUACUCCUUUUUUGGAUUAUUAAACAUCUUAAACUCCAACCAUCUGCCUCCUGUGUCUGCAUCUGGGUCUCGCCUUGUGUCAUGAUAUGGAGUGAUAGAUGUGCAGAUGAUGAUGUGCAAGUAGCGA
rnacentral:lncRNA from 1 species